GACGAACGCUGGCGGCGUGCUUAACACAUGCAAGUCGAACGCAGUGGCGAACGGGUGAGUAAUACGUGAGUAACCUGCCCUCCUUUUUGGGAUAAGCCUUGGAAACGGGGUCUAAUACCGAAUAAAGGGGGAUGGGCUAGCGGCCUAUCAGCUUGUUGGUGGGGUGAUGGACUACCAAGGCGGUGACGGGUAGCCGGCCUGAGAGGGUGACAGGCCACAUGGGGACGUAGAUACGGCCCAGACUCCUACGGGAGGCAGCUGUGGGGGAUAUUGCACCAUGUGCGAAAGCCUAAUGCAGCGACGCCGCGUGGGGGAUGAAGGCUUUCGGGUUGUAAACCGCUUUCAGCCAUGACGCGGUAGUGGCAGAAGAAGCACCGGCUAACUACGUGCCAGCAGCCGCGGUAAUAC
rnacentral:rRNA from 1 species